rnacentral:rRNA from 1 species
AUUGAACGCUGGCGGCAUGCCUAACACAUGCAAGUCGAACGGUAACAGGUCUUCUGAUGCUGACGAGUGGCGGACGGGCGAGUAAGACACCGGAACGUGCCCAGACGUGGGGGAUAAGGAGGCGAAAGCUAUGCUAAUACCGCAUACGAUCUAAGGUUGUGAGCAGGGGAGCGCAAGGGCUUGCGCGGUUGGUGGGGGCGGUGGGCGUGUAGGUUGUUGGUGGGAUAAGAGCUUACGAAGACGAAGAUCUGUAGCUGGUCUGAGAGGACGAGCGGCCACACUGGGACGGAGACACGGCCCAGAGUCCUACGGGAGGCAGCAGUGGGGAAUGGUGGACAAUGGGCGAGAGCCUGAUCCAGCAAGGCCGCGUGUAGGAUGACGGCCUUGGGGUUGUAAACUGCUUUUGUGCGGAAUGAAAAGGUUCUGGCUAAUACCUAGGGUGCAUGACGGUACCGGAAGAAUAAGCACCGGCUAACUACGUG